UUUUUGAAGUUGCAACCGUAUGCCCAACACUCAGUGGUAAAUAGGCCUUGUGCUAAGUUGGCCUAUAAGUAUUAUGGUCCUUUUCAGGUUCUGGAGUGUAUAGGUCCAAUGUUUUCUCAGUUGCCUGCAGCUGUCGACUUGUCAGGUGUUCAAGUGGUGCCAGAGAGGAUUCUUGAACGCAAGAUGGUGAAACGCCACAACAAGGUGCAGGUCCAAGUGUUGAUUCAGUGGUCUGGUUUAGCAGCUGAAGCAGCCACCUGGGAAGACUAUGAUGUCUUGAAGAACAGGUUCCCGGACGCACCAGCAUGGGGACAUGCUGCA
rnacentral:rRNA from 1 species